CUCCCUCUUCUGAAAAGUCGAGUUCGCAAUCAGAAGCUCGGAAGCCCUGGCGAAAUCAAGCAGCGAAGUGCCCCCUCCGUUCCUAACCCCAAAGCUGAAGCCUCCGUGCACCUCAUCAUAGCCAUCAGCAUCAGCCCCAAUAUGGCCAUUAAAGUCCCCCCCCAAUAAGUAACUUCUCAGAUUGAGGAAUACUACUCACCAUAUCAUCCAAGUCCUCCCAAAAGCGCCUCUUGGCCUCCUCGUCUAGACCCGCUUGCGGCGC
rnacentral:lncRNA from 1 species